UGCCGGCAGACCCUCAAAUCCAGCUUGAUUUAAAUGAGUCAUAAGAAUGAGAAUUUUGAGUGUCAGGAAUUCUGUUACAGCAACACAGAACAAAGACACAUGGUACACUUGAGACUUGGCAAUUUAUCAAGAAAAGAGGCUUAUUUGGCUCACUAUUCUGUUGUCUGGAAAAUUCAACAUUGGUCACCUGCAUCUGGUGAGAGCCUUAGGCUGCUUCAACUCAUGGCAGAAAGCAGAAGGGAAGUAGGUGUGUGCUCAGAGAUCACAUGGAGAGAGAGGAAACAAGAGAAGAAACCCAGGAAGCCAGACUCUUUUUAACUGCUCUCUUGGUAACUAAUUCAUUCCCAGGAGAGGAAGACAUCACGCAUCCCUGCGAGAGAGCAAUAAUCUAUUCAUGAGGCAUCUGCCCCAUAACUCAGACACCUCCCACAAGGCCCCACCUCCCAACACUGCCACGCUGGGAUCAAAUUUCAACAUGCGUUUUGGCAGGUACACACCACAUCAUAGCACCAUGUGUUUGAAUCCAAGCAUAGUCCUGAAACUGUGUCCAAAAGUGAGGUGUGUAAGAAUGCGAAUAGUUGACUGUAGGUCUGACUCCUAGUUUCCUGUUUCAGUUCUGCUUUGUCACUUAUCAGACUGCAACUGUUCUGCUGCAUGGACCAAACCAGGAGGAAGACAUUAGGGUUGGUUCAGUGAUAAUUAGAACUUGGUGUCCCUGCUGUGCCCUGAAAAGUAGAAACUGUGUGGGAAGCAGCUUUGGUGCUACGUAAACUCAGUGGGAGAGGAUGAUGUUCAAUGAGCUUCAAAGAUACGGCAUCUUACAAUAGCAUUUGGGAUCCUCCACGGCCGUCUCCCUCAGAAUCAAAGUCCCCACCCGUCUGAAUCCCUGUGUUUGGGAGUUGCGAAGUGUCCAGCUUAAAGUCUGUUGCCUCAGACAGGGGUAAACAAUUCGAUGUGAAAUGGGACUUUCAGGAAAGUGCUUGAAAGAAAGCUGAUUGUUCUUCCUUCUUCUUGCCUGGAGGGCUGAUGUGAUAGACA